GGGGGAAACCUGAACCACCCCGCCGCGUGAGGAAUGAAGGGCCUUCGGGUUGUAAACCUCUGUCGCCAUGAAAGAA
rnacentral:rRNA from 1 species